rfam:Blastomyces gilchristii SLH14081 genomic scaffold supercont1.29, whole genome shotgun sequence.
UCAUGAUGAGACUUCAUAGCUGGCACCAGUCCUAGAAAGACUUGUACUCUGUUUGCUGCGGACUAGCUUUUGCAAUGGCUUGUAUAGCCUUGUUUCUGAU